CAUUCACACAGACGUCGCGCGAAAGGCGGGGCUUAGCGUUUGAUUGGCAUUGUGUGUGUCCGAAUAGUUAGCCACGGGACCCACGAAUACUGAAAGCUUUGAAUAUCUGACCGGGACGACUCGGGACAACCUAGAUUUGGCACUUGGCUGGAGCAGUGGAUGAGAAGUUUGUAGCAGAUCGGGGAGGGAGUGGGAACAGCAUCGGCCACAACUGGAAUCUCAUUGAUCGGCAGCCAUGAUCACAGAUCAUUUGACCAUUGAAGAUUUUGUCACUUUGAAAGCCCAGACACGACAGCAUGGACUUGCAGUAUGUUUAUGAGCAGGAUUGGGACAAAGAGAGUGAGACUUCCAG
rnacentral:lncRNA from 1 species